rfam:Triticum aestivum genome assembly, contig: Triticum_aestivum_CS42_TGACv1_scaffold_032860_1BL
GUAGUACUCCCUCCGUCCCAAAUUACUUGUCUUAGAUUUGUCUAGAUACGGAUGUAUUUAGUGUUAGAUACAUCCGUAUGUAGACAAAUCUAAGACAAGUAAUUAGGGACGGAGGUUGUACUUG